ACCUGGCUGGCUCAGUCAGUAGGGUAUGAGACUCUUGAUCUCGGGCUGUGAGUUCGAGCCCCACCUUGGGUG
rnacentral:tRNA from 1 species